rnacentral:sRNA from 1 species
UCAUUAUAACAACUUAAACCGCAACCUAAUCUUAAAAGCCUAAGUAGUGUUUCCGUGUUAGAAGACACCAAGCCAAAGACUCAUAUAGACUUUGGCUACACCAUGAAAGCUUUCAGAUGCAAGAAGAAGGUUGGUUAC